GUGAGGAGAAGGAAGAGGCUGAAGGCUGGGCUUCUGGUGCUUCUGGGGUUCAGCCACACACCCACCCCCAGUGCCACCCAGGCCGACCAGUGCCAACAGCCUACUGUCUCCUCAG
ensembl:miRNA Mir6981 microRNA 6981